GUCUAGAGCCAUACCACCCUGACUUCACCUGAUCUUGUCUGAUAUCGGAAGCUAAUCAGGGUCUGCCUGGAUAGUACUUGGAUGGGAGAAGCAGCUUUACUACAACCAUUUUAAAUAAGAACCACAGCAGCUACC
rnacentral:rRNA from 1 species